CACACAUCCAACAUCGCCAUGGACCAGUAGCUCAAGCCGUCUUCUUCCAGAUGGUGAUGGGGUUCCCUCACCAUCUGCAGGUCAUCAUCCUUAAGGGCUCCACCAUCUGCAGGGUCUAACCACCUUGAUUUGAUUCGGGCUGGAGCAGCAGCAGCAGGUCCUUCCUUCCAUGGAGGGCAUCCACAACAUGACCCGCACAAGGAGCUCCAAGCAGACAAAGCACAGGUUUCUUUGUUUGUAAAUUAAGCAGUCUGGUAGAUUUGGAAAGGAGGAACAGGGUACUGAACUUUUAUAUAUCUGCACAAGGAAUACUAUGUUAUGUAAGAACAUGGCGGUGCAGUCACCCGAGGUGAAGAAGCUCUGUCACCUACCUCUACAUCCUCCACUAGGCUGACAAGCACAACUGCUAACAAGUAUGCUAAUCCACCCUCAUCUGCAUCGCUUCCUCCUAGCCUGUGAUUUAUGACAUGGAGCAUGUUGUUCUGUUAUCAUAUACACGAAUCUGUCCAUGCUUAAAUGUGGUCAUAGGUUGUGGAAUAGGAGAAACAAUAUAAUGUUCUUUAGCAGAUGCAAACCUGUCCAUGCCUUAUUUGGACCAAUAAUUACUGGUGUUGCCUAUUUGAUAUGUAAACAUAUUUUUUUGGAUGUCUCAGAAAAAUGCCAUGCUACUACAUAAGUUUGAAUCAAACAAAUUAAAUUUGUAAUAAGAUCCCUGAAAGUAAUUAAGUGCUUCUUGAAUGCAUGGAAACAACAAGUUAGAUAUCUCAGAGGUACUAUGUCAUAUAUUCUGAAAGUGGCGCACAUGGAUAUGUAUUCUUGGUUAGCUUUAUGUUCCAUUUCUGUUGUACAUGCUCCAAGAGUU